UACAGAGGGGGCAAGCGUUAUUCGGAAUUAUUGGGCGUAAAGGCGCGUAGGCGGCCUGGCAAGUGGAUGGUGAAAUCCCUCGGCUUAACCGAGGAACUGCCAUCCAGACUGCUUGGCUUGGGACCGGGAGAGGUGAGUGGAAUUCCCAGUGUGGCGGUGAAAUGCGUAGAUAUUGGGAGGAACACCAGUGGCGAAGGCGGCUCACUGGACCGGUACUGACGCUGAGGCGCGAAAGCGUGGGGAGCAAACGGG
rnacentral:rRNA from 1 species